UGGGAUGCAGGUCAGUGGUAGAACACUUGCCUAAAAUGCAUGAGGUCCUGAGUUCGAUCCCUAGCAUCUCAA
rfam:Ictidomys tridecemlineatus contig055504, whole genome shotgun sequence.